GGUGAGGUAAUGGCUCACCAAGGCUACGACGGGUAACCGGUCUGAGAGGAUGAUCGGUCACAGUGGGACUGAGACACGGCCCGCACCCCUACGGGGGGCAGCAGUGGGGAAUAUUGGGCAAUGGCCGAAAGGCUGACCCAGCAACGCCGCGUGGUGGAUGAAGCCCUUCGGGGUGUAAACACCUUUUCUGGGGGAAGAUAAUGACGGUACCCCAGGAAUAAGGGACGGCUAACUACGUGCCAGCAGCCGCGGUAAUACGUAGGUCCCGAACGUUGCGCGAAAUUACUGGGCGUAAAGGGUCCGUAGGCGGUCUGGUAAGUGGAAGGUGAUAUCCUACGGCUCAACCGUAGAAUUGCCUUCCAAACUGCUGGACUUGAGGCAGGGAGAGGUCGGCGGAAUUCCCGGUGUAGCGGUGAAAUGCGUAGAUAUCGGAAGGAACACCAGUGGCGAAGGCGGCCGACUGGAACUGUCCUGACGCUGAGGGACGAAAGCUAGGGGAGCAAACCGGAUUAGAUACCCG
rnacentral:rRNA from 1 species